UGAAGCAUUAUGUAGGGCCGUUGUU
rnacentral:piRNA from 1 species